GACGAACGCUGGCGGCGUGCCUAAUACAUGCAAGUCGAACGAACUCUGGUAAUGAUUGGUGCUUGCAUCAUGAAUUGCAUUUGAGUGAGUGGCGAACUGGUGAGUAACACGUGGGAAACCUGCCCAGAAGCGGGGGAUAACACCUGGAAACAGAUGCUAAUACCGCAUAACAACUUGGACCGCAUGGUCCGAGUUUGAAAGAUGGCUUCGGCUAUCACUUUUGGAUGGUCCCGCGGCGUAUUAGCUAGAUGGUGAGGUAACGGCUCACCAUGGCAAUGAUACGUAGCCGACCUGAGAGGGUAAUCGGCCACAUUGGGACUGAGACACGGCCCAAACUCCUACGGGAGGCAGCAGUAGGGAAUCUUCCACAAUGGACGAAAGUCUGAUGGAGCAACGCCGCGUGAGUGAAGAAGGGUUUCGGCUCGUAAAACUCUGUUGCUAAAGAAGAACAUAUCUGAGAGUAACUGUUCAGGUAUUGACGGUAUUUAACCAGAAAGCCACGGCUAACUACGUG
rnacentral:rRNA from 2 species